GGGGAAGCCGAGGCUCAGAGGGCGCCUGUUGUUAAUCAGCGCUGGCACGCUUCUCUCCCCCGCCCCACGCAGGCCCUGCUGCACCUGCUCCCUCUUAGGACUGAAUGCCCUACGAUCCCCACCGAAUGAGGAAGGACGCUAGAGGUUACAGGACUGGUCUCCGACCGCUCAGCCAGAAACAGGCUUUGAACCCUGCUGAACUCCGGUGGCACAGGCUGCGCAAGGCUUGCGUCUCCCUGGAAGGGCCACUCCUCUCUGGUCAGCGAAAUCUCCUCCCCGCCCAGGAAUCUGGACGGCCCCUGCCAUUUGCCUGGUUGUUCCCCUACCCGAGUGCCCUCGAUUUUCCCCUCUGGUCGGGGCAGGAGCGGCAGGGCUGGAUGCCAGGGCCCCAGGGGCAGGGAGGUGAGUGGGCACCACUCCUUCCCCCACGGGUAAGGUGGACAUCCAGCUUCGGACCACAUCACAGACGCCCAGGCCCCCAGCCACAGCCGGGAUCACUCAGCUGGGUAACGUCUCCACUUCCCAGCUGGAGCUGGGAACUUUUCCACGCUGCCAGGACUUGCAAGAAAACAGCUGUCUGGCUGGAAGAUGCCCCUGAGAAGUUGGCCCACCUGGUUCUCUGCAGUCUCUGGGGUACCUGCCCCCUGACCUUCAGCCAGGUCCUGCCUCUCGUAUGUCCACUCAGGUGA
rnacentral:lncRNA from 1 species